UACGUAGGGGGCAAGCGUUGUCCGGAAUCAUUGGGCGUAAAGAGCGUGUAGGCGGCCCGAUAAGUCCGCUGUGAAAGUCCAGGGCUCAACCCUGGAAUGCCGGUGGAUACUGUCGGGCUCGAAUCCGGAAGAGGUGAGUGGAAUUCCUGGUGUAGCGGUGAAAUGCGCAGAUAUCAGGAGGAACACCAAUGGCGAAGGCAGCUCACUGGGACGGUAUUGACGCUGAGACGCGAAAGCGUGGGGAGCAGACAGG
rnacentral:rRNA from 1 species